UCCGCCCAAAGAAGACCAGAGCUAUUUCGUAGACGCCUCACCAAACAUCAGGCAUCCUUGAAGACAGAACGCGAGAAGAAGAAGGAGAUGUAUUUUCCGGUGAGGAAGUAUGCUCUCAAAGUUUAGUCGAUUCCGACUUGAAAAAAGAGGAGACUUUUGUAUUGUUAUUUUCAUUCUUUCUUUUCCGCCGGGAUCAGUCUUAGAAUCUAUCGGACUUACUUGCAUUAGUGUUUUUGUUGGUACUCCAGCUUUUUAUCUACGUUUCCAUAUUAAGAUUACAUGUUUGGAGAGGGGGAAGAUGCUAGGAAAAGAGAAGUAACAAAGAUCUAUUGUAUUUUCUUUACCAGAGUGAUGUUAUAAUCAGAUUUGGAUCAAAAUUUAAAUGUCCAAAACAAUUUUUGUUUCAA